rnacentral:rRNA from 1 species
GCCUACGGGGCGCAGCAGUAGGGAAUCUUCCACAAUGGGCGAAAACCUGAUGGAGCAACGCCGCGUGGGUGAAGAAGGUCUUCGGAUCGUAAAACCCUGUUGUUAGAGAAGAAAGUGCGUGAGAGUAACUGUUCACGUUUCGACGGUAUCUAACCAGAAAACCACGGCUAACUACGUGCCAGCAGCCGCGGUAAUACGUAGGUGGCAAGCGUUAUCCGGAUUUAUUGGGCGUAAAGGGAACGCAGGCGGUCUCUUAAGUCUGAUGUGAAAGCCUCCGGCUUAACCGGAGUAGUGCAUUGGAAACU